GAUGAACGCUAGCUACAGGCUUAACACAUGCAAGUCGAGGGGCAGCAUGGUCUUAGCUUGCUAAGACUGAUGGCGACCGGCGCACGGGUGAGUAACACGUAUCCAACCUGCCCUUUACUCGGGGAUAGCCUUUCGAAAGAAAGAUUAAUACCCGAUAGCAUAAUGAUUCCGCAUGGUUUCAUUAUUAAAGGAUUCCGGUAAAGGAUGGGGAUGCGUUCCAUUAGGUUGUUGGUGAGGUAACGGCUCACCAAGCCUUCGAUGGAUAGGGGUUCUGAGAGGAAGGUCCCCCACAUUGGAACUGAGACACGGUCCAAACUCCUACGGGAGGCAGCAGUGAGGAAUAUUGGUCAAUGGGCGCUAGCCUGAACCAGCCAAGUAGCGUGAAGGAUGAAGGCUCUAUGGGUCGUAAACUUCUUUUAUAUAAGAAUAAAGUGCAGUAUGUAUACUGUUUUGUAUGUAUUAUAUGAAUAAGGAUCGGCUAACUCCGUGCCAGCAGCCGCGGUAAUACGGAGGAUCCGAGCGUUAUCCGGAUUUAUUGGGUUUAAAGGGAGCGUAGGUGGACUGGUAAGUCAGUUGUGAAAGUUUGCGGCUCAACCGUAAAAUUGCAGUUGAUACUGUCAGUCUUGAGUACAGUAGAGGUGGGCGGAAUUCGUGGUGUAGCGGUGAAAUGCUUAGAUAUCACGAAGAACUCCGAUUGCGAAGGCAGCUCACUGGACUGCAACUGACACUGAUGCUCGAAAGUGUGGGUAUCAAACAGG
rnacentral:rRNA from 1 species